AUGCACGCUGGCGGCGUGCCUAAUACAUGCAAGUCGAGCGAACAGACGAGGAGCUUGCUCCCCUGACGUUAGCGGCGGACGGGUGAGUAACACGUGGAUAACCUACCUAUAAGACUGGGAUAACUUCGGGAAACCGGAGCUAAUACCGGAUAAUAUAUUGAACCGCAUGGUUCAAUAGUGAAAGACGGUUUUGCUGUCACUUAUAGAUGGAUCCGCGCCGCAUUAGCUAGUUGGUAAGGUAACGGCUUACCAAGGCAACGAUGCGUAGCCGACCUGAGAGGGUGAUCGGCCACACUGGAACUGAGACACGGUCCAGACUCCUACGGGAGGCAGCAGUAGGGAAUCUUCCGCAAUGGGCGAAAGCCUGACGGAGCAACGCCGCGUGAGUGAUGAAGGUCUUCGGAUCGUAAAACUCUGUUAUUAGGGAAGAACAAAUGUGUAAGUAACUAUGCACGUCUUGACGGUACCUAAUCAGAAAGCCACGGCUAACUACGUG
rnacentral:rRNA from 1 species